rnacentral:sRNA from 1 species
CAGCCUUAAAAAGCAAUCAGGCAAAGCUGUUGUUGAAAUCUGAAUAAUUAGUAUCCAUUGACUAUAAUAUUAAUUAUUUAUUCUUACAAAUUGAAAAUAUAUUUCAUUUGUGUGUGUGUGUGUGUGUGUGUUUGGUACUGGGGAAUGAACUCAGGGGUUAUUUACCACUGAGCUGA